rnacentral:rRNA from 1 species
GGCCUGAGAGGGUGACCGGCCACACUGGGACUGAGACACGGCCCAGACUCCUACGGGAGGCAGCAGUGGGGAAUAUUGCACAAUGGGCGAAAGCCUGAUGCAGCGACGCCGCGUGAGGGAUGACGGCCUUCGGGUUGUAAACCUCUUUCAGUAGGGAAGAAGCGAAAGUGACGGUACCUGCAGAAGAAGCGCCGGCUAACUACGUGCCAGCAGCCGCGGUAAUACGUAGGGCGCAAGCGUUAUCCGGAAUUAUUGGGCGUAAAGAGCUCGUAAGCGGUUUGUCGCGUCUGCUGUGAAAGGCCAGGGCUCAACCCUGGUUCUGCAGUGGGUACGGGCAGACUUGAGUGAUGUAGG